rnacentral:lncRNA from 1 species
UGUGUUUGAGGUCCUUCCAAACUUCUUGUUGUGAUUUAGUUCUAAUUUCAAGGCAUUAUGGUCCGAGAAUAUGCAGGGGACAAUCCCAAUCUGUUUGGUAUCGGUUCAGACCCGAUUUGUGACCCAAUAUUGGUCUAUUCUGGAGAAAGUUCCAUGUGCGCUUGAAAAAGAAUGUUGUAUUCAGUUGAGUUUGGAUGUAAAGUUCUGUAAUAUCUGUGAAAUCCAUCUGGUCCAGUGUAUCAUUUAAAGCUCUCGUUUCUUGGAGAGUUUUGCUUAGAAGACCUAUCGAGUAUGAAAGAGCUAGAUUGAAGUCACCAAGUAUAAGUGUAUUAUUAUCUAAGUAUGUCUUCACUUUGGUUAAAAUGAUUUAUAUAUUUGGCAGCUCCCAAUUGGAGCAUAUAUAUUGAGGAUUUUUAAAGUCCUCUUGUUGAAUAGAUCCUUUAAGUAUGAUAUAGGUCCCUCUUCAUCUCUCACUACAUUUCUUUGGGGUAAAUUUUAGUUUAUCUGAUAGAAGGAUGGCUACCCCUGCUUUUUUUGAGGACCUUCGAAUGGUAAAGGGGUUCUCCAACCUUUAUUUUCAGGCUGUAGGUGUCCUUCUGUCUAAAAUGAGUCUCUUGUAGACAGAAAAUAGAUGGGUCCUGCUUUUUUAUCCAGUCUGAAACCCUGCGCCUUUUGAUGGGGUCAUAAGCCCGUUCACAUUCAGAGUUACAUUGAGAGAUAUGAGUUUAGUGUCAUCAUGAUAUCUAUUCAGUCUUUGUUUUUGUGGACUGUUCCACUGAACUUCUUCUUAAAGGGGAAUUAAGAGGCCCCCUUAAAAUUUCUUGCAGAGCUGGUUUGGAGGUCACAUAUCUUUUAGUUGCUGCCUGUCUUGGAAGCUCUUAUCUCUCCUUCCAUUUUGAAUGAGAGCCUUGCUGGAUAAAGUAUUCUUGGUUGCAUGUUCUUUUCAUUUAGGGCCCUGAAUAUAUCCUGCCAGCCCUUUUUGGCCUGCCAGGUCCUGUGGGAGGUCUGCUGUUAACCCUAAUACUCCUCCCCAUAAAAGUCAGGGAUUUCUUGUCUCUUGCUGCUUUAAGGAUCUUCUCCUUAUCUUUGGAAUUUGCAAGCUUCAAAAAUUAAAGUCGAGGUGUUGAACGGUUUUUAUUGAUUUUAGGGGGGGAUCUCUCUAUUUCCUGGAUCUGAAUGCCUGUUCCCUUCCCAGAUUAAAGGGAAAAUUUUUUAGCUAGAAUUGUUCAAUACAUAUUCUGGCCCUCUGUCCCUUUCGGCGCCCUCGGGGAAACCCCCAAAUUUAAAAGAGGUUUUUUCUUCCUCAGGCUGUCGUUUUUUUCCCUUAAUCUAUCUUCAUGGUCUUUAAUUGUUUGUCUCUUUUUCCUCAGUUUCCCUCUUUGCUGUCAACUUGUCUUCUAGGUCACUCACUCGUUCUUCCCCCCUCGUUAACCCUCGUCGUUAGGACUUCUAGGUGGGAUUGCAUCUCAUUCAAUUGUUUUUAAUUUCUGCCUGAUUAGCUCUAAAUUCUGCAGUCAUGAAGUCUCUUGAUCCUUUAUACUUUUUUUUAGAGCCAAACCCGUAGCUGUAUAAUAAGCUAAUCGGCAGAAAUUAAAAAUCAAUUGAAUGAGAUGCAAUCCAAACUAGAAGUCCUAACGACGAGGGUUAACGAGGUGGAAAAACGAGUGAGUGACCUAGAAGACAAGUUGAUAGCAAAGAGAGAAACUGAGGAAAAAAAGAGACAAACAAAUUAAAAGACCAUGAAGAUAGAUUAAGGGAAAUAAACGACAGCCUGAGGAAGAAAAACCUACGUUUUAAAUUUGGGGGUUUCCCCAGGGCGCCGAAAGGGACAGAGGGCCAGAAUAUGUAUUUGAACAAAUUCUAGCUGAAAACUUUCCUAAUCUGGGAAGGGAAACAGGCAUUCAGAUCCAGGAAAUAGAGAGAUCCCCCCUAAAAUCAAUAAAAACCGUUAACACCCCCAUUUAAUUGUGAAGCUUGCAAAUUCCAAAGAAAAGGAGAAAUCCUUAAAGCAGCAAGAGAAAGAAAUCCCUGACUUUUAUGGGGAGGAGUUUAGGGUACAGCAGCCUCUCCCAGAGACCUGGCAGGCCAGAAAAAGGGGUGGCAGGAUAUAUUCAGGGGCCUAAAUGAGAAGAACAUGCAGCCAAGAAUCUUUAUCCAGCAAAGGCUCCAUUCAAAAUGGAAGGGGAGAUAAAGAGCUUCCAAGACAGGCAGCAACUAAAAGAAUAUGUGACCUCCAACCAGCUCUGCAAAAAUUUAAGGGGGGCCCUUAAAAAAUUUCCCCCUUUUAAGAAGAAUUCAGUGGAACAGUCCACAAAAAAAAAAGACUGAAUAGAUUCAUGAUGACACUAAAAAUCAUAUCUCUCAAAAGUAACUCUAUGUGAACGGGCUUAAUGACCCCAUCAAAAGGGCCCCAGGGGUUUUAGACUGGAUAAAAAAAACAGGACCCAUCUAUUUGCUGUCUACAAGAGAUCCUUUUAGACAGAAGGACACCUACAGCCUGAAAAAAAAAGGUUGGAGAACCAUUUCCAUUCGAUGGUCCUCAAAAGAAAGCAGGGGUAGCCAUCCUUAUAUCAGAUAAAUAAAAUUUUCCCCAAAGACUGUAGUGGGGAUGAAGAGGGACACUAUAUCAUACUUAAAGGAUCUAUUCAACAAGAGGACUUAACAAACCUCAAUAUAUAUGCUCCCAAAGUGGGAGCUGCCAAAUAUAUAAAUCAUUAUUAAGCAAAGUGAAGAAAUCUUAGAUAAUAAUACACUUAUACUUGGGCUUCAAUCUCUCUUUCUAUCUCGAUAGGUCUUCUAAGCAAAACAUCUCCAAAGAAACGGAGCUUUAAAUGAUACACUGGACCAGAUGGAUUUCACAGAUUUCUACAGAAAUUUACAUCCAAACUCAACUGAAUACACUUCUUCUCAGCGCACUGGAACUUUCUCCAGAAUGACCCAUAUUGGGUCACAAA